GUGGGGAAUAUUGGACAAUGGGCGCAAGCCUGAUCCAGCAAUGCCGCGUGGGUGAAGAAGGUCUUCGGAUCGUAAAGCCCUUUCGACAGGGACGAUGAUGACGGUACCUGUAGAAGAAGCCCCGGCUAACUUCGGGCCAGCAGCCGCGGUAAUACGAAGGGGGCUAGCGUUACUCGGAAUUACUGGGCGUAAAGGGCGCGUAGGCGGCUCUGUUAGUCAGGCGUGAAAUUCGUGGGCUUAACCUGGGGACUGCGCUUGAUACUGCAGGGCUGGAGGACGAGAGAGGGUGGUGGAAUGCCCAGUGUAGAGGUGAAAUUCGUAGAUAUUGGGAAGAACACCGGUGGCGAAGGCGACCACCUGGCUCGGUUCUGACGCUGAGGCGCGACAGCGUGGGGAGCAAACAGGAUUAGAAACCCGAGUAGUCC
rnacentral:rRNA from 1 species